rnacentral:tRNA from 1 species
GCCUUCGUGGUGUAGUGAUCAGCACGCUCGACGCGUGAGCCAGAGGUCCGUGGUUCAAUUCCCGGCAAAGGCG